rnacentral:rRNA from 1 species
AGUGAACGCUGGCGGUAGGCCUAACACAUGCAAGUCGAACGGCAGCACAGUAAGAGCUUGCUCUUACGGGUGGCGAGUGGCGGACGGGUGAGGAAUACAUCGGAAUCUACUUUUUCGUGGGGGAUAACGUAGGGAAACUUACGCUAAUACCGCAUACGACCUACGGGUGAAAGCAGGGGAUCUUCGGACCUUGCGCGAUUGAAUGAGCCGAUGUCGGAUUAGCUAGUUGGCGGGGUAAAGGCCCACCAAGGCGAUGAUCCGUAGCUGGUCUGAGAGGAUGAUCAGCCACACUGGAACUGAGACACGGUCCAGACUCCUACGGGAGGCAGCAGUGGGGAAUAUUGGACAAUGGGCGCAAGCCUGAUCCAGCCAUACCGCGUGGGUGAAGAAGGCCUUCGGGUUGUAAAGCCCUUUUGUUGGGAAAGAAAAGCAGCAGGUUAAUACCCCGCGGUUCUGACGGUACCCAAAGAAUAAGCACCGGCUAACUUCGUG